CCGGUCUCGCAGUUAAUAACAGUCUUCCCCUUCAUCACAUUGCAGCCAGCGUUUCAUUGCAGUAUCAAGGUGGUAGAGAAUUGACUUUCAACGUUUCAGCAUCUGAUGAAAAGAGGGUGCUGGGGUCUGAACUUAAGUACUCAUGCAUGAGCAGAAAGCACUGUGCCAAUGGAGCUAUCUCUCUAGCCCCCAUUCUUUAAUUAUCUUCAGAAAGCUCCCCUGACUUCAACCCAGGACCCUCCCACAGCUUCCAUGAACUUUGAAGGGUCAGUCUGAUUUUAAACCCAUGGAUGUCCUGCAUCAGCCUCCUGAGUACUGGGAUUGAAG